UUAUAAGAAGUUUAAUCUAUCAAAAAUAAUUAACAUCAUCAUAUAAUAUAUAGAAUUUAAAAAAAUCUCAAAAAUUUUUUUGUCAUAUUUUGUGAUUCGAAAUUUUAAGAAUGAACAUAUAUUAACCAAUUGGCGAAAAAUGUGUGGGUUCAACGUCCCGCAACGACUAAUAUAUUUUGACAAUGAUUCAUAAACUUAUUAUAAAUAAGAUCAAUAUUAAUAAAAUAAAUAGUUUUUUUGUGGACGGGUUUGGCAGGACGUUACUUAGUAACAAUGGUAAACUAUAAAAUAAUUUACAAAUUUUUAUAUAUAUUAAUUUUAAAAAAUGAAUUGUCUCCGCGGUGUACCGCGGGUUAAAAUCUAGUAAUAACUUAAAAUAAAGAACAAAAAUUACGUAUAAUUAAAUGUCUAAGAUAAAAAUGGAAUAUAAAAAUGUAAAAAUGCUUACCUAUCUAGUUUUAUUAAUGUAAGAAAACAUAUUUGUCUUGCUCUAUCAGCUUGCAAAGUUGCUUGUUACAUCGAAUGAAUUGUUUUCAAAUCAAAUAUUCCAACCAAUUUUUUAUUUGUUUUUAUGAUGAUAAUGAUCUUUUCUUAUAAUUAAACUCAUGUCACUUUUCAUAAUAUAAAUACUCAUUUUCUCAUUCUCUCAUCCUCUUUUACUAUAUUUCCUCUGGUACCCGAAGUCAACUUAAAAAUAUUCUGAUAUAUAUAAUAAUUUUUCGUACCAAAAAGAGUGGAACCCGAGGUACAUAGGAACUAAUCUUUGUAAUACUUGAUUAUUUGGCGCUAAAUAUACAUGAUCAUUUUUUAUUCCUGUGGUUUGUAGAAUAAUGAACCCAAAUCCGGAUGAACUUUAUCAGACCAAAACUAAAUUUUAUAUCCUAGAACAAAAGUCUAAAAAAUUAUAUGUCUCAUUAUCUUAUGUUUAUAAUAUCUAAAAUAUUUUGAAUCAUUUGGUGCUUAAUUCGCAACCGGUUGUAAGCUUUUUUUACAGUUGUUGUUUUCUCCUUAUUAAUAGAUUUGCAGUUUUAUUUUUCUCACGGGAUAUAAGCCAGUAAGCCACUCUAUUGAACCUUUGCAUUAAAAAAUGGAUACCAUCAAUAAUCAUGUCAAACUCUUAAUAAAUUUAACUAAUUAUUGCUAACUACUUCAAAAAAAAUAUGAUACUUAGUGCAUGAUUGGUUGGGUUGUAAGUCUCACUUAAAGCAUUAAUUUUUCUUAAAGCCUAGAUUACUUACCAAUAGUGUUGUAGUUUUUUUUUUUU
rnacentral:sRNA from 1 species